rnacentral:rRNA from 1 species
UACGGGGGGGGCAAGCGUUGUUCGGAAUUACUGGGCGUAAAGGGCUCGUAGGCGGCCAACUAAGUCGGACGUGAAAUCCCCAGGCUCAACCUGGGAACUGCGUCCGAUACUGGAUGGCUUGAAUCCGGGAGAGGGAUGCAGAAUUCCUGGUGUAGCGGUGAAAUGCGCAGAUAUCAGGAAGAACACCCGUGGCGAAAGCGGCUCUCUGGAACGGUACUGACGCUGAGACGCGAAAGCGUGGGGAGCGAACAGG